rnacentral:rRNA from 1 species
AUGGGAAAAAGACCAGUUCGAAAAUGGGCCAGCCCAGCGAACCGGGGGUUUCCGCGAGCCGAAGAAGAAGAAAAGGACCGUGCCACCCUUUUUAAAACCGGGGGCUUCCAUGAGCUGGAGAAGAAGAAAAGGACCAUGUAUGAAGAGAUCUCAGCCAUCGAUGUGUUUAGGGAGGGGGAGGGGGUUCUGCUCCAUGCUACAUUGAAAAAUGGAUCCUCCUUCACUUGGCAAAGCAUCAUGAAAGGAUUGGAAACUUUCAAAAUGGGAUACAUUUGGAGGAUUGGAAACGGUGAGAAGGUGAAUAUAUGGACUGAUCCAUGGAUCCUAGGGAGCCCGGAUAGGAAGUGGUAUCGGACUUUUGGGACACACACAAACAUGUCUGAACGCCCAAGGCAAUCCCAAGCCCCGGAAGUGUGGACUAGACUCUGGAAACUAAAUAUACCACGUAAAGUUUCGAUAUUUUGCUGGCGUGCUCUUCAUGGAAUCAUCCCUCUAAAAUCCAUACUGAUGAACAGGCAUGUGGGAUCGGAUGGUGCUUGUCCGGUUUGUCAUGGAGCUGCUGAGGAUAUAAAAUAUCUUCUCUUUGAAUGUUUGACGGCCAGAGAACUUUGGAGAGGCCUGGGCAUAUUGGAAAUUCUUGACGAAGCUGCAACGGUGGAUCGCUCCGGUUCGGUAAUAUUGGAGCAUUUACUAUUGGCAGAGGAUAAGCCAGUUCCGAUGAAGUCGAACUUGGAUAUUAAACAAAUUCUUGUUGUUGGUAGUUGGUACCUCUGGUGGACUCGUCGCCAACACACUCAUGAUGGAGCAACACCCCCGCCAAUGAGAUGGCCUAUGUCUGUGCUAGCAUUUGCGAACAAAUCUCAUCAAGCAAAUGAGAAGAACGGGGUGACAAAUGAACAAAGAUGGUUGAAACCCCCCAGUCCAAAAUUUGUUAAGUUAAAUGUAGAUGCCUCCUUCUAUGUGGAUGAGGGUGUUGGAGCAUCGGCGGCAAUCCUUAGAGAUGAGAAGGGUAAUUUUUUGGCAGCUCAGUGCAAAUAUAUUCAGUAUGCAUCUGAUGUAGUUACCUCGGAUGCUAUGGCGAUGAGAGAUGGAUUGAUCUUUGCAAGCUCAUUAGUAUUCAACAGGGUGGAGGCAGAGUCAGAUUCUUCAAUUGUUAUUGACUAUUGCUCGGGACAGACAGAAUGGUGGGACUCGGCUGCUGCAGUAUUUGCAGAAUGCAUUGACGUGUCUUUGUCAAUUGGGAAGCCAUGUUUUCUAAAUGGGCCCGGGGCUUACCCAAAAACACAGCCAGGGCCCAGGCUAUCGAUCUUCACACUCGCGCGCAGGGCGCACGACGCAGCCCAGCUCGCCCCCGACGCGCAGACGUCACGCCCCGACUCCCCGUCCCCUGCUCGCCUGCGCCCUCCGCCGCUCGUGACGGCCGCCGAUGAAUCCGCCGCUCGCCCGUGCCCUCCGGCCUACGCUGCUCGUGACGACCGCUGGUGA